rnacentral:rRNA from 1 species
GAUGAACGCUGGCGGCGUGCCUAAUACAUGCAAGUCGAGCGAACAGAUAAGGAGCUUGCUCCUCUGACGUUAGCGGCGGACGGGUGAGUAACACGUGGAUAACCUACCUAUAAGACUGGGAUAACUUCGGGAAACCGGAGCUAAUACCGGAUAAUAUAUUGAACCGCAUGGUUCAAUAGUGAAAGACGGCUUUGCUGUCACUUAUAGAUGGAUCCGCGCCGCAUUAGCUAGUUGGUAAGGUAACGGCUUACCAAGGCAACGAUUCGUAGCCGACCUGAGAGGGUGAUCGGCCACACUGGAACUGAGACACGGUCCAGACUCCUACGGGAGGCAGCAGUAGGGAAUCUUCCGCAAUGGGCGAAAGCCUGACGGAGCAACGCCGCGUGAGUGAUGAAGGUCUUCGGAUCGUAAAACUCUGUUAUCAGGGAAGAACAAAUGUGUAAGUAACUAUGCACGUCUUGACGGUACCUAAUCAGAAAGCCACGGCUAACUACGUG